UAUACAGUGUUUUGGAAUCGGACACAUCGACAUGUAUAGCUCCAGCCUCCAUGAUCACUCAUUGUUCUGUUCUGAAAAACAGAACGUCGACCGCGGACCAACUCCAGUAAAGUGUAAAAGCAGAGACGGAUCCAGCAAAACAGUGAUAAACAAGAAAAAUAUUAACAAAUGAGUAUUCCGCCCACCUAACAUAAAGCAUGUCUUUUAUGUACACACUUCCUAGUGGCGAUUCUUCGCAUGUGCAUAAAUCAUCACCCUUCAGUUAGACAUCAUAAUCAAAAUUAUCAAGAGUUGAAAUAUUUGAACGUCCAGCUACUAGAGAAUGAAGGGCAUAAUCAAAUCAAACUAUCCAAAAUAUUCUAAGCAGGUUGUUUAAUAAUACUUGUGUCAUUGUCAAGGUGCUGCGUGCUAUUAUUGAUGUAUUAGAUUAAGAUAUGUUACUUUCGGUUCUUAAUAU